rnacentral:misc_RNA from 1 species
CAAGAGGUACUUCCCUAUUUCUUUUAGGGACCUCCCACCCUGUGUUUACCGACCUGUUGCUUCGGCGGGCCGAUCACUUCUGUCGAGGUGACCGUCGGCCAUGCGGGCGAGUGCUCGCCGAAGAAUUUUUAAUACUCUUUUUUUGGGUUAUCUGAGUUAUACGAGAAAAAAUU